AAAAAACCAAGAGUAGCAGAUUGAGUAAAUCAAAUCUAGAAAGCAAGAAGAAAGCAGAAGAACUGAAAAAAUCAGCGUUGAUGAUCAUAGAAAUUGACUCAAUGAAUGAAUGAGGAUGUUUUCAUCGGAUAUGACCGUAAAAAAAAAAAAAAAAAUUGGGGUUAUUAAUCGUUAAAUUUGUUGUCGUUUAAUUUUUCAUUACAUUAACACAGCUUUAAUGCUACUGCUUUUGGAACAACCGAAAAUGAUGAAACAAAGUUCAUUAAAUAUUAACCGAAGCAAUAUUUUUCUGAUCCUGAUAAGAACAAUAAGAAACAUUCAUCCAUCCAUGACUAGAUUUUUGAAGAAUAAUAAUAAUUUUUCAAAUUCACACACGACGAAAAAAACAAAAACAGAACAGAAAAAAUCCAUCUUUCAUUCAUAUUCGAAUUCGAUUUGGACUCUACUCGAUUCUGGAAAUUCUUGUAUACUGCCCGUUUCUUUUCAAUCACCAUCAUCAUUAUCAUUAUUAUUUGUCAUCCAAUCUUUCGAUGAGUAAUUUUGUUCACAAAUACAUCAUCAAAAUGUACAUUCCUCUUUGUAUUUUGAUUCAUUUCAAACUUUUUUUUCAACGACAACAACGACCAAAAGAAUAUCGAUUUUUCGUGAGCAAUUUUUGCUACAAAAUCACCAACACCGAAUGAAUACAAUUCAUAUUCAUUCAGGCGAAUAACAUGGAUUGUAUGUACGAAUGAAGUAGAAUUUGUUAUUGUCAUCAUCAAUGGAUGUUGAUUUUUUGGAAUUCAAAUAGAGAAUCGUAUCAUCGAUAAAUACGAUGAUGAUGGACAUUAUAUCCAUAUGGCAUGACUUCAAUGAGUUAUCUAUGCAGAUAGAUGGUGGUUUGAAAACGAAAAUUGACGGUUAGCCGGAUGAGAUACAAUUUCAAUCAAAAACGAAAAACAAUAUUGAUCCAGUAAAAGCAGUCCAAGUCGAUCGUUGUUUUUUCUGCAAUUUCGCCAUUGUUUUGUUUUUUCUUCUAUUCGAGUUUUUGAAAUGCUGAAAAUGUAAUUCUUGUUCGAGAAAGAAAAAACCGGUCUCCAGCAUCACAUGAUGAACCAUCGAUUUUAAAAACAUUCAUCGAUCCACAAUCGAUUUGAAAAAGAGACCAAGAAAAGAAUAACGAGAACGCAUGAAGAGCAAACCAUUGAAAGUUUUUGACACCAUUUUUCAAGAGCGAAAAUUACGACGAUCGAACACCAAUCAUCAACAUCAAUUUUUGAUGAUCGUUUGUGAAAAAAAUAAUGAAUCAUGGGUUU